GCCCCUGCAGAGGGGCUCCCUUGCAGCUGGGAUGCCCCAAAGCCAGUUUUUCUCUCUGAAAGAAGAAACUCUGCCAAGUCCACAUGGCAGACAAGGUUUUCCCAGCUUUCCAGCUGAGCAUUUUAGACUCCUGGCACUGCUGCUGUACUCUGGUGCAUUACUCAGCUUUUGUGCUGCCAGACUGAAAUGUCAAUGCAAGUAACUGUCAGCCUCCCAGGAGGUGAAAUGGAGAGCACCAUUCCCCCCUCCCUAGGAUUUGGGAGAAAAUGGCCCCUGUGUCUGGAAAGAAACCUCAUACUGACCUCACCAAAGAAAUCUGGAUGUCUUCUUCCUGCUUUAAAGGAGCAAAUAAGGAUGAAUAUAGAUGAAGUGGCCAGCAAAACUUCAAGCCAAGUCAGUUACAACAUAUCUGCAACCACAAGCCAAUUAGACCUGCCUUGGGGGUUUAAUACAGUGUGCAAGACAAUGUCAGUAUCUGAAAGUCUGCAGUGCUUUAUAGCCCGUGCAAACAAACAAACAAACAAAAAAUUAACUGAAAACAAGGUAAAUAAUAAACAUGUUAUGUAAUAUAUUUUUGAACAUGUAAUAUUCAUGCUAUUUCUCCGGGGUACCUCAAAUCCAGGAUGAGACAAGACUGCAUUCAA